AGCUUGACUGUAUCUUGGAAUUGGGUUCGGGCUUUUCUUGCGCAGACUAGGUGGGAGGCUAUGAAGAUUUUCUUCUGGGAAAGUUGGAGCCAACAGUGAGAGACCACCUCUGGAAAGGCUAGAAUCCUAAUGGUGAUCCUUGAAUCAGGACACUUGACAGUUUCAGGUGGGCAGUUUUUUCUGGGGCGGAAGCCUCAUAAAAGGUAACUGAGGCGCGCAAAAGGUCCCCUCAGUCUGGACGGAAAUCAGACAUUGAGUGUAAAGGCAAAAGGGGGGACCUUGACUGCAAGACCCACAAGUCGGAGCAGGGGCGAAAAGCUGGCCUUAGUGAUCCGACGGUGCCGUGUGGAAGGGCCGUCGCUCAAAGCGAAUAAAAGUUACUCCUAGGGAUAUAGCUGACUGAGCACGUAAU
rnacentral:rRNA from 1 species